CACCGGCGGCUCGAGUGGUAACCGCUAUUAUUGGGUCUAAAGGGUCUGUAGCCGGCUUGGCAAGUCCCCUGGGAAAUCUGGCGGCUUAACCGUCAGGCGUCCAGAGGAUACUGCCAGGCUUGGGACCGGGAGAGGUGAGAGGUACCUCAGGGGUAGGGGUGAAAUCUUGUGAUCCCUGAGGGACCACCAGUGGCGAAGGCGUCUCACUAGAACGGGUCCGACGGUCAGGGACGAAAGCUGGGGGCACGAACCGG
rnacentral:rRNA from 1 species